AACUUGAAACACCAGUUCUGGUACGAUCACAGAAGUUAAGCAACGUCGAGCCUGGUUACUACCUGGAUGGGUGAAUGUUUGGGAAUACCAUGUGCUGUAAG